UGAAGAAGUAGACAGGCACAAUUAAAAAACACGCCGACGGUCUGGUUUCUGUUCGCACGAGAUAAAAACAUGCUUCUCGAUAACUCCGCAAGGUGACGCAUGAGGUAGCUGGAGAGAAGGGUAUAAAUGUGGUGCUGGGGUAAUAAGAUAUCGCAUUUGCGUCACAGUUUCUUGGAGCAGAUAUGUACACCAACGAAGAAAAGUUAGAUAUGCUUCUAGUGUAUGGUGAAAGCAGGAGAAAUGCUGUUAGAGCAAUAAAGCGAUAUGGAGAGCUGUAUCCUAAUCGUGAGAGUCCUACGCGCCAGCUUCUUGCACGUAUUUGGAAGAAACUACUGGAAUCGGGAUCAUGGAACGCCAUACAGAGGGCAUGGCAGAAAAUUGCAACUGGCGAGGUACAUGAAGAGGGCGUUCUAGCGUUGGCGGGAGGUGGCAAAAAAUAACUUAACUGAUAGAAAUAACCGGUUACUGAGAAGUAACGGUUACUGUGACAAUCGUUCAUCUGAUACUGGCAAUUAUUUCAAUAACUGCCAACAGUGCCUCGCACCUUCUCUUAACCGAAUAUCGUACUACGCAUUCGCGUCAUACAUCGGAGAUCAGGCUCCGAAGGAGAGGGGUAGACCAUGUGGAAGGCGUUCUAUAGUUCAUGGGAAUAACUGUGAGAUUGCGCGCUGUCUGUUGAUAAAAACUGUGUACUAUGUCGUGCGUCUUCGUUACUUUUAGCACAAACAAUUAAAUACUGUUAAUGUCAGAGCGGUGUGUGAUAGGAGCUGCAGUACAGGCACUAACAAAUACGGUCGUUCCCUUGAGCCACCGCCUUAUAUGUCACAUUAACUUGGGCGGGUAGUAGAAAGAGAGUUACCAUAAAGAAUUCGAACGACUAUGGAAAUAACUGUCAGAGAUUGGCAUUUUUAUCUAGCAGUUAUUGUUGGCUCACAGUUAUCAUUAUUGGACAAGACUCUAGCGAGAGCGAAACACGGGAAGUAACGUAGUUCACAGAAGUUACCACAUCCAGUUGAAGGCGUUGCGAGUAUAAUCUUUGAAGAUGAAAUUUUUGGCGGGCAGAAUGAUCUAUGUUUUAGAGGUGGGCCAAACGGUUAUUCUGGAGUAACCGUUAUCACAGUUCCAGUUAUUCUUUGAUAACCGUUAUCAAUAACUGCCAAGUUAUUUUUCGCUAGCGAAUACCGAAUACUCCGACAGUUGAAUAACGACAUAGUUGAAUCCAUCGGUUUAGAGUCGAGCGAGGUGGCGCAGUGGUUAGACACUGGACUCGCAUUCGGGAGGACGACGGUUCAAUCCCGCGUCCGGCCAUCCUGAUUUAGGUUUUCCGUGAUUUCCCUAAAGCGCUCCAGGCAAAUGCCGGGAUGGUUCCUCUGAAAGGGCACGGCCGACUUCCUUCCCCAUCCUCCCCUAAUUCGAUGAGACCGAUGACCACGCUGUCUGGUCUCUUUCCCCAGCCAACCAACCAACCACCCACCCAUGCUUCAAAUGUAACUCUCAUGUAAACAUGUUGAGAUGUUAAGUAAUGGAGUUGUUGAACGUUAUUUUUAGUCACUGAAGUAUAUAGCGAUGAAACUCGGUUAAAAAAGGGAAGAGAAAUGCAGCAAAAUAGCUGCGCUGCUUAGAAAGAAAAUGCUGUAGAACAGAUUGGAUGAAAGUAUGCUGUUUGUGGGCCAGUACAGUGAGAAAGAUCUAAUUGCAAAAGCAGGCAGUACUGGCCUUUUUGGGUUGUACCAAAAAGAUGCAAACUCUGAGAAAAUGUUCCAACAGUAAUUAAGUUACAUUCUUGAUAAUUUAGUCCUGUUUUCUUGCCAAUUGGCAGUCAUUGCCUUUUCACUAUUUACUACCUGAGACUAACAUGGGGUUAUUCGCACAAGGUCAGGUGCUGAUGCUACACCCAUCUUCUUUGACCCGUAAAGUCAUGGUGAGCCAUGAUUAUUUUUGAGUCUUUGUGUUUGUAGAUUGUGUGUUGUAUUAUUUGGUGGCUCUGUUGUGCUGGAGUUUUUUUUAGUGAGUAGUUUUGGAUGAAUGUUUCAGGUUGCUAUUGAAAGAAUUUUCGCUGGAUUUCUGGUGAGUUACUUUGAACAAAAGCAAAACGAGGAUAAUGGAAUGUAGUCUGAUUAAGUCUGGUGAUGCUGAGGGAAUUAGGAUAGGAAAUGAGACACUUAAAGUAAUAAAGGAGUUUUGCUAUUUGGGGAGCAAAUUAACUGAUGAUGGUCGAAGUAAAGAAGAAAUAAAAUGUAGACUGGCAAUGGCAAGGAAAGCGUUUCUGAAGAAGAGGAAUUUGUUAACAUCGAAUACAGAUUUAAGUGUCAGGAAGUCGUUUCUGAAAAUAUUUGUGUGGAGUGUAGCCAUGUAUGGAAGUGAAACAUGGACGAUAAAUAGUUUGUACAAGAAGAGAAUAGAAGCUUUCGAAAUGUGGUGCUACAGAAGAAUGCUGAAGAUUAGAUGGGUAGGUCACAUAACUAAUGAGGAGGUAUUGAAUAGAAUUGGGGAGAAGAGGAGUUUGUGGCACAACUUGACAAGAAGAAGGGACCAGUUGGUAGGACAUGUUCUGAGGCAUCAAGGGAUCACAAAUUUAGCCUUGGAGGGCAGCGUGGAGGGUAAAAAUCGUAGAGGGAGACCAAGAGAUGAAUACACUAAGCAGAUUCAGAAGGAUGUAGGAUGCAGUAAGUACUGGGAGAUGAAGAAGCUUGCACAGGAUAGGGUAGCAUGGAGAGCUGCAUCAAACCAGUCUCAGGACUGAAGACCACAACAACAACAAAAACAACUUUGAAUUUGCAUAUUUUGGCUGAUGGAUUCAUUUUUGUUUGGAAAUAUUAUUGCCGUUUGUUUCUUGUAGUUGGAGAUUUAAUAUUUUUCUCUUUUCUUCAGUUGUGAAGAAAGAUUGUUGCAGUGGGCUAAUGUGUUUGUGUGUAUUGAAAUCGAUGGUGUUGAAAGUUUUCUUGAAUUAUCGGGAUUUCCUUGUUAGUGCUCAGUAAUUGUUGGAUUGUUAUUGGUAGGUGUCAUAGGUACUGAUGUACCAUCUUUGGUUAGGAUUCAUUUCUGAUGUUAGUCAUGUGAGCAUGGUUUGGUUUGUUGUAUUGAGAACUUUGGUUAGAUAGAGUAAGUGAAAUUGUGGUAUCUAGGGCUUUACUUUGGCUAUGUGGGUGAAGUGAAAUUUGCAACACCAUGUUUUAGAGUGGUUGGUUCUUGGUAUUGAGGGCUUUGUUGGGGCUAUAUAGGGCAAGUGAAAAUUGUGUUGAGUUUUUGUGUUCUGUAUGGGUUACUGGUAUUGAGGUCUUCAUUUGAGAUGUGUAGUUUUCAUUAUUGUAAUUUUUUUGUUAAAUUUUGAGGAUUUGAUGUGCUGGAUUUUUGGGUGAAUAUUUGUUUUGCAGUGAUGUCAUUAUUCUUAUUGUCAUUUAUUUAGUUUGUCCUCUUCAUUUGGUUGCCCUGUCAGUUUCAUUCUAUUGCUGGAGUUAAAUACUUCACAUGCUGUUUAUGUUUGUUCGCAGGUGUAAUGAGUGAUGUCGUGGUCACCAUAUUGUAUGUGUUUGAAAUAGUGUACACCAUGUUGAUGGCAUUACUGGUCAAAACAGGGAAAAGCACAUUGCAAAUCCAGUACAACAGAAUGACUACAGGAUUGCACAACCAGACGUUCUCUGACACCACCCUAUAUUUUCUGAGAUGGUUACUAGGGAUAGGUCACAGCCAGUACCCAGGCUCAUUAUUUUUAUUUUACUAUCUGUGCCAAAUUAGUGUGUCUGGUAAUAUAUUAAUGUUAUGGCACUGACAGUAGCAGUAUCAUAGAUACACUUUAAGAAAAUGAAAUGGUUUACAUUCCACUGUGAAAACCCACUGUCAUAAAAUGUUUAUUGAAGUGGAUGACACUUGUAUCUCUUGUGUUGGAGUUACUGUUGCAAUGAAUGUGAUUUUUUAUUAUGAUAUGUUAAAAACUGCAGUAAAAUAAAUUUGUUUAUUGCAAAAGGA